rnacentral:snRNA from 1 species
GUGCUGGCUUUGGCAGUGCAUAUACUAAAAUUGGAAUGAUACAGAGAAGAUUAGGAUGGCCCCUGUGCAAGGAUGACAUGUAAAUUCGUGAAGUGUUUCAAAAUUUU